GGCUAGCUGACGAGUCCCAGAUAGGAGGAAAUGCGUAUCCUGGAU
rnacentral:hammerhead_ribozyme from 1 species